rnacentral:rRNA from 1 species
GAUUAACGCUAGCGGCAGGCCUAAUACAUGCAAGUCGAACGGGACUUCGGGUAGCAAUAUCUGAAUGAGAGUGGCGCACGGGUGCGUAACACGUAUGCAAUCUGCCUCUGACUGGGGAAUAGCCUUCCGAAAGGAAGAUUAACACCGCAUAAAAUAAUGAAGUGGCAUCACUUUAUUAUCAAAACUCCGGUGGUCAGAGAUGAGCAUGCGUCCGAUUAGCUGGUUGGUGAGGUAACGGCUCACCAAGGCGACGAUCGGUAGGGGGUCUGAGAGGAUGAGCCCCCACACUGGUACUGAGACACGGACCAGACUCCUACGGGAGGCAGCAGUAAGGAAUAUUGGACAAUGGUCGCAAGACUGAUCCAGCCAUGCCGCGUGAAGGAUGAAUGCCCUAUGGGUUGUAAACUUCUUUUAAACGGGAAAAAACCCCUCUACGUGUAGAGGGCUGAUGGUACCGUAAGAAUAAGGAUCGGCUAACUUCGUGCCAGCCGCCGCAGUAA